ensembl:lncRNA
ACCCCACCACUGUUUACCCCCUCUACCUCUAAAUCUCUAUUACUCCUCCUCUCUUAUCUUUCUUUUUGUGGCCCUUGUCACAGUAAAUUCAAACUCAGGAAAUAUUCUGAAUGUUCGGUAUAACUCAUGAAAAAAAAAAAAUACAGAUUUUUUUUUUUUCUACAGCAGCUAGACUGUAAAUGUCCAUAUGCAAAAAUGUCUUCUGCAUCAUCCGUUUGUAGUGUCUGUGUACCACAACACUUAAUUUGUACAGAUUGGUGGUAUCUAAAACAUUCCUCCUUUGCCUUCCACAGCACUGAUACGAAAGAAAGUACGACGGAAAGGCGAACGAAUCGCAUCGAAGUUUCGGCCACCUUUUGCGUCAGCAAUACUGUACCAUUGGAUGUUUUCAAGAAGUGCUUGCUCGGCAGAAAGCGUAUUGUAAAUAGUACGGCGCAUGGAGACGGUUUCGUUAAUAUUGUACAGCUGACUCCUCACGCUUGCACACUUGGCCUUAAGAGCCUGGGGAUGCUUCGGUUCAGGCUGACGUUUCGAUGCAGAUGUGGAAGAAACCAAGAGUCUGGGUGACACGGAUCGGAAUUCUGACCUCUGUUAGCCUCUGUUACUAAAAGCUGCAUCAUGUUUGCCUCCACGGUGACUUCAAGGGUUCGUCCUGGUCACAGAAAGCCUCACAGGUUAAAUAAGCUUAUUAGCUCUUCUCUCAACAACGCUUCUGCUAGUUUUUUUUUUUGUUUUACAGAGUUUUUAUUUUCGUAUCAGACUCGUGAUUGCUCUUGUAUCUUGUCUCAGGGUGCGUGCCAAUAUUAUUUUGUUGUCCUUUUUUUAUUUAUUUGGUUUGCAGACGUUUUUAAUGGUAGCUGGUGAGCUCAGCUUUUGUUCUUCGCAUAUUUUUGUGUCUUGCAUUUUUUGUGUCUUAUAAAGCUAAUGGGUGAUUAGCAUGUUUUUUUGUUUGUUUGUUUUUUUUUUUUUUUUUUUUUUUUUUUCUUUUUUUUUUUUUUAGAGUUUCUAAGCUAAGAAAAAUUGAUUCAUGGAGAAAACCAACUAGAUUUGCACAAUUUUUUUGGAUGAAAACCCAACAAGGGCUAAGAAAUAUCUCAAAAUAAAAUCUAGCAAUUUGUUUUUGGUUGUAAAUUG